UUCAGGCUGGAAGCGUUGAUGUGCUGCACUGCUAUUAUGCACAUGGAGAAGAAAAUGAAAAUUUCCAAAGGCGCAGUUAUUGGAUGCUUGAAGAGGCUCUGCAACACAUAGUUCUCGUCCACUACCGGGAAGUUAAGGUUCUAGGUCGAGAGAAGGACAUUUCAAUCCCUCUGGACUUAACAACAAUUCAACUUUUCCAACCAGAAGAAAA